GAUGAACGCUGGCGGCGUGCUUAACACAUGCAAGUCGAACGGUGAACACGGAGCUUGCUCUGUGGGAUCAGUGGCGAACGGGUGAGUAACACGUGAGCAACCUGCCCCUGACUCUGGGAUAAGCGCUGGAAACGGCGUCUAAUACUGGAUAUGUGACGUGACCGCAUGGUCUGCGUUUGGAAAGAUCUUUCGGUUGGGGAUGGGCUCGCGGCCUAUCAGCUUGUUGGUGAGGUAAUGGCUCACCAAGGCGUCGACGGGUAGCCGGCCUGAGAGGGUGACCGGCCACACUGGGACUGAGACACGGCCCAGACUCCUACGGGAGGCAGCAGUGGGGAAUAUUGCACAAUGGGCGCAAGCCUGAUGCAGCAACGCCGCGUGAGGGAUGACGGCCUUCGGGUUGUAAACCUCUUUUAGCAGGGAAGAAGCGAAAGUGACGGUACCUGCAGAAAAAGCGCCGGCUAACUACGUG
rnacentral:rRNA from 1 species